rnacentral:rRNA from 1 species
UACGUAGGGCGCAAGCGUUGUCCGGAAUUAUUGGGCGUAAAGAGCUCGUAGGUGGUCUGUUACGUCUGCUGUGAAAACCCAGGGCUUAACCCUGGGCCUGCAGUGGAUACGGGCAGACUAGAGGUAGGUAGGGGAGAAUGGAAUUCCCGGUGUAGCGGUGAAAUGCGCAGAUAUCGGGAGGAACACCGGUGGCGAAGGCGGUUCUCUGGGCCUUACCUGACACUGAGGAGCGAAAGCGUGGGAGCGAACAGG